rnacentral:rRNA from 1 species
GACGAACGCUGGCGGCGUGCCUAAUACAUGCAAGUUGAGCGAUGAAGAUUGGUGCUUGCACCAAUUUGAAGAGCAGCGAACGGGUGAGUAACGCGUGGGGAAUCUGCCUUUGAGCGGGGGACAACAUUUGGAAACGAACGCUAAUACCGCAUAACAACUUUAAACAUAAGUUUUAAGUUUGAAAGAUGCAAUUGCAUCACUCAAAGAUGAUCCCGCGUUGUAUUAGCUAGUUGGUGAGGUAAAGGCUCACCAAGGCGAUGAUACAUAGCCGACCUGAGAGGGUGAUCGGCCACAUUGGGACUGAGACACGGCCCAAACUCCUACGGGAGGCAGCAGUAGGGAAUCUUCGGCAAUGGACGAAAGUCUGACCGAGCAACGCCGCGUGAGUGAAGAAGGUUUUCGGAUCGUAAAACUCUGUUGGUAGAGAAGAACGUUGGUGAGAGUGGAAAGCUCAUCAAGUGACGGUAACUACCCAGAAAGGGACGACUAACUACGUG